rnacentral:lncRNA from 1 species
AGCCAAGAACCGGGGCGUGCGCAGUCGGUGGCGCCGUUGCAGUCCAGCCUGCGGGUUGGGGGGUGUGGUGUUCUAGGGAGAGCCGGGAACCUGGAUGGAGAAAACGUCUAAAAGAUCCUUUGCCCCUUGUUCAUGUGGAUGGAGAAUACCGCAACCCGUGACGAUUUCAGCAACGCUUCAUUCCCGUAAAAAGAAACAAGCGCAGAGGCUGAAGAAACCGCUGGUGAAUACCCAUUCCCUUCUCUUUGUGAGCCUGUAGCCAUGGGAACUGCAGCCAAGUACACAAUAACAUCUCCAUGAACGAAUCCUCAGGGAACAAAGUUCAUUUUAAUACAGCUGGCCUCAACACAGAAGAAUCCGGGGGACGCCAGGCUUGGCAGCCUUGUGCUGCCUCCUGGCUUCAAGCUGCCUCUGGAGGAGGAGAAAGUGGAACUAUCGCAGGCCUGCCAGUUGCUGAGGAAUUGAGUCAAUUUUGAGAUUCAACAGAGCCAGGAGAUUCUAGGCGAAUCUGCGAAGAGUCUUCUACAGGGCUUCUCUGAAGCUUCUACUCCAAGACAGCUCAGGGUUUCAAAGCAGGGAGAGAAAAUCAACAAAAAGCCUACAGAGUAUCCCUCAUCGCAGUCACCAGAUAUGCUCAGGCGUCUCAAGCAUCUCAAAACAGGCUGUUGGCUUAACGCCCCCGAGGGCCCUACACUACACCCCUUGGACAAGUGCUUUCUCCCAGGGGAGUAAACAGACUUCUGUGGGGCAGGCUUCACACAGCAGGUUGCCGUAGGAUAGGAUGCAGCCUACACCCAAGACAUAACCCCAGCCUGACACUUCUUCUUUUAUUGCUUAGCUGUUAUUUAUGUUUGUCUGUUUUUGAGUCAGGAUCUAUCUUAGUAUGUGGCCCUGGUUGGCCUAGAAUUCACUGUGUAGACCAGGCUGGCCUCAGACUGCUGGAUUAAAUUCUCUGCUGGGAUUAAAGGUGUGUACCAACAUGCCUGGCUUCUUUUAUUGCUUAAGAUUAUUUAGUAAUUAUUGAAAAGAUUUAAGAGUAAGAAUAUCUAAUGUCCACUAAGGUUUCCUCAUACCUCCAAUCCUUAUUCUCCCCCACAAGCAACCAUUGACCAAAAUUUUU